rnacentral:rRNA from 1 species
UAGCACGUGAGUGACCUGCCUUUUAGACUGGAACAACUUACCGAAAGGUGAGCUAAUGCCGGAUGAGUUAUAUAAGUGCAUGUUUAUAUAGGAAAAGUUGGGGAGACCUGACGCUGAAAGAUGGACUCGCGUCCCAUUAGCUAGUUGGUAGGGCAAUGGCCUACCAAGGCGACGAUGGGUAGCCGGCCUGAGAGGGUGGCCGGCCACACUGGGACUGAGACACGGCCCAGACUCCUACGGGAGGCAGCAG